CCCGCGAAGGUAGAUGAUAUUUCAGAACAAAAUUCGUAAACCUGACCGUUUCUGCGCCGUUGCCGUUGCCGGAGAGCGUUGCGCUGCAAUCUUUUGAACUAAUGUUUUCAACUAUGCUUCUGUUGUUUUUUGCUCCUCCUUCCCAGGUUCUUCGUGACCUUUGAUGAUUUGUGCAAAGUGUAGUGACUCGUAAGAUGAGGUUCAGAAAUGGAGGUGCUCUGAGGCUGUGCUGCUUGGAUUCAAAUCAUUCUGCUCCUUUGCCUUCCACCACUGCAACGUGCACGGGCUCUACUCCUCCGGUUUUGAAAAGGAGGAAGAGGUACAGGAGAGAGCAAAGGCAUUACUGAGGAGUUGAGGCUUGUCGGUAUGAGGCUUCGGAAUGUUAAUGGUGAAAAGUUAUCCGGUGAUACUGGGGAUUCAUCAAGUGAAGAUGAAGUAAAGGAGAAAGAUGACGGAAAUUUGGUGUUGAGCGAUGAUGAUUAUGAUGAGAGCGAGGAUGGUAUAGAGACUUGGCAACCGAGCUUGAAAGGAUGUCCUAAAUAUUUGGCUGAUAGUAAGUUCAUAUUCAGCACUGUGGAGAAAAUCAUUGAUGAUCCUAAGCAACAUUGCUUAUAGUUACUUCAGAAAAUCAGGGUUGGAACAUUCAGAAUAUCUUGCAAAGGAUCUAAAAUGGUUCAGUGAACAGGGUAUUGUGAUACCCGAACUGAGCAGUCCAGGAGUUCCUUAUGCUAAGUAUCAGGAGGAACUUGCUGAGAGGAGUGCUCCUUUGUUACUUUUCCAUAACUAUAAUAUAUACUUUUCACAUAUAGCAGGUGGCAACAGGUAUGUGAAGUUGCUUUCACAAUGUGAUGCUACUGCGAUCUCAGAUAACUAAGUAUUUAUUGUAUUACCUCUUCUCUUAGAACUUUUUAUUCAAAGAUGAGUAGCAGCCUUUCUCCAAGGAAAGGAGGUGCCUCUGUCUGUGAUCUGAGAUAACAAAGUAUUUAUUGCAUUACCUCUUCUCUUAGAACUUUUUAUUCAAAGAUGAGUAGCAGCCGUUCUCCAAGGAAAGGAGGUGCCUCUGUCUGUGAUGUGCUAUAUGAGUCAUGAGUUAUAAACCAAUCCUUUGGCAUUCUUUAUAUCAUAAAUAGUGUUUGAGUUGUGGCUUCCUUCAUGCAUGAGACGCCAGAAAAGAAAUAAUCAUUUAUCCUAAAACUUGUUACGUAAAACUUUAAAAACAUGUAUGAUGUAAUUGCCUGUUAUAGCUGAUAAAAUUUUUAUUAUGAUUUAUAUUCUUUUUCCGAAGGAUUCUGAUAGACUCCUUGAAGGUAGAAAGCUUGAAUUUUAUACAUGGGCAGGGGACGUAGAAAAACUGCUGAAAGUGCUCGUGAGAAGCUUAACAUGCUUGGAGAGCUAUGUGGACGCUAAUGCAGCACUGGUCUCGAGAUGAGAAAAAUAAAUGUUCGAGAGAAGCAACCAAGUCAUUCCGCAUUUUGGGAAAGAUAGUUCGUUUGUUUAUCGUAUGAUCAGCUAUUUUAAGUGAUAUGACUUUGAAGGUGUUCCCGGCACAAGACUAGAAUAUCAAGGGGCCAACAAACUGGGGUAAGACUUGACAAUGCUCAGAAAAUGGUUCUCUUUCAAUCAAUCAAAGUUGCGAUGAAUCUACAGGGCUGCGCUCAUUCAGAGGUUUUGAUACUCUGAUUGGAAAUGAAAAAGAGCAGUGAUUUUGGACAGUGGUGGCUGCUGGAGGCAUGGAGCCAGUGACCUUCCCCAACUUGAGGAGCUAACCCCAUUAUUUUCAACAUUCAAUCAAAUGCGAUCAGGUAAGAAAUUUGACACAAUGAUCGGGACAAUUUCUAGAACUCUUACAAUACAUACUUCAUUUGUUCACACUAUGAAUUAUGUUUUUAUGCUAUUGAACUCCAUACUGUUGUAUAUUCUUGAUAUAAGUGUUGAUGAUUUUGUAGGAAGGGAAGGGAUGGGAAGGGGGAGAGGUAAAUGGAAGCACGUGAAGGUAAGCAUUAAUGGAGGUAGCAGUAGUGAGGUUUUGUUUAGUCAAAGAUGGUUUUGGUAGCAGAAAGGUUGGUUUGUGUGAGUGUGGCUUAGUAGUGGGUUUGGCACUUAGGGUUGCUUUCCUUAUUCCAAAAUAGAAAAACGAUUCUAUUUGGAUGCAACUCUGCAUAUUCUUUGCAAAUGAAUCAUUCUAAAAUGGAACUUCCUUUUUCUGCAUGGAACAUGCAGAGUUGCUAAUGGAAGACGGAGACUUUUUUGCCCUUUGACAAUAAAGUAAAUGACUGUGCUC